CCUACGGGUGGCAGCAGUGGGGAAUAUUGGGCAAUGGGCGCAAGCCUGACCCAGCAACGCCGCGUGAAGGAAGAAGGCUUUCGGGUUGUAAACUUCUUUUGUCAGGGACGAAGCAAGUGACGGUACCUGACGAAUAAGCCACGGCUAACUACGUGCCAGCAGCCGAGGUAAUACGUAGGUGGCAAGCGUGAUCCGGAUUUAUUGGGUGUAAAGGGCGUGUAGGCGGGAAUGCAAGUCAGAUGUGAAAACUAUGGGCUCAACCCAUAGCCUGCAUUUGAAACUGUAUUUCUUGAGUGCUGGAGAGGCAAUCGGAAUGCCGUGGGUAGCGGUGAAAGGCGUAGAUAAACGGAGGAAGACCAGUGGCGAAGGCGGAUUGCUGGACAGUAACUGACGCUGAGGCGCGAAAGCGUGGGGAGCAAACAGGAUUAGAUACCCUGGUAGUC
rnacentral:rRNA from 1 species